AAGUCAUGCAUCAGUGGUUAUAUUUAUUGUAAGACUUUGUCAUGGCUCAGUGAGUUCUGAUAUAUUGGUUAUACAUGUAACAGUCUAGGUUUUACUAGUUUGUGUUAUGAAAACUCUGUUCUGUAUGAUAAUUGGUUAAUUAAGUCAUGUUUCAAUUUCGAGGGAAAUUCUAUUGUUUGGUGAGAAUAGGAUUUAUUUUGAACUAAAAAGUGUUAUGUUGUUAGUAUUCAUAAUUUGGUGGACAGGAUAAAAACAUAAGGAUUAUUUAAUCAUGUGGUCAUUAAUAAACAUCUGUAAACAAGAGGAAUCACAAACCCUGUUAGAAAGUACCAUCAGACUGGAACCCAUUCUAUCAUACAUCAGUAUCUAAAAAUGGGAAAAGACAUCAUCCAGUAUGUUGAGAGAGGUUCAGAACAAGCUAUUUUGUUUGAGGAGGAGUUGUCAGCACGUCAUAAUUGAAUAAAGUCAAUUGUAUUAGAAGUGAAGUCUAAACAGAAAUGAGACAAUUAUCAAAUAAUUCAAAGACUACAUGGAUGUUAUCUGGACUAACAUUUGUAUGACCCAAAUGUGGUAUUUUUCAUAUGAAGACUUACAAGGCAAAUAAUUGGCUGUGGCAAA